rnacentral:tRNA from 1 species
ACUACUUUGGCAGAUUAGUGCAGUAAAUUUAGGAUUUAUUUAUAUGAGGUUUCUCAUAGGUGGUA